UACGGGGGGGGCAAGCGUUGUUCGGAAUUACUGGGCGUAAAGAGCUCGUAGGUGGUUUGUCGCGUUGUUCGUGAAAACCUGAGGCUUAACCUUGGGCGUGCGGGCGAUACGGGCAGACUGGAGUACUGCAGGGGAGACUGGAAUUCCUGGUGUAGCGGUGGAAUGCGCAGAUAUCAGGAGGAACACCGGUGGCGAAGGCGGGUCUCUGGGCAGUAACUGACGCUGAGGAGCGAAAGCGUGGGGAGCGAACAGG
rnacentral:rRNA from 1 species